AAAAAAAACUGUUAGAACAGAUGCUAUCUAGGUAGAGUACAAUGCAUACACCCGAAUAUUCAGCAACUCACUCUUCUGCAUGUGUUUGGUAGAGAAACUCCUGCAUACAG